rfam:Tetranychus urticae London genomic scaffold, scaffold_8
UCCGAUAUUGUCUAGUGGUUAGGAUAUCUGGCUUUCACCCAGAAGGCCCGGGUUCGAUUCCCGGUAUCGGAG